UGAAACGUUCAUAUUAUUAUAAUUUUUUGUUAAAAAUUUCGUGUAUUACGUGUAUACCCAGAUACCCAUUUAUAUUAUACUUAUCCAUGCAGAUACCUAAGAAACAAACAGUUACACUAUAGUGCUGUUGUAUUUCAUGCAUUAUACUUUAUCGUAUAUACAUAAUAAUAUGUGCUAUACCAAACCGCGUUCAUGUUUAACCAUGUCUAACUUACUUCUGUAGUUAUGCUAUUCUAUGUAUAAUUACAUUUUCUUUCUUGUAGAUCUCAUUUUAUUCAAUUGACAUAUUUUAUGCUAUUUUUGUUCGUUACUUUUAUUACGAUUUCCAAAAAUAUAUCAAGUGUAGGUAUGACUCGUGAAAGUGAAUAUUGCUGUUCUGUUCAACAUUACCUAGUCAGUAAUUAACAUCGUCAAUCAUUAAGAUACUGCACAAACCAUGGAUCUUAAGGAAUAAAUAUUAUAUCGACAAUAUACCCUCACUCUGUUAGACAACUAAUUGAAGACUCACAAUCUAGAAAUGGAGAUUCAUGCUUUAUUGGAUUGGUAACUGAGCGUGAAUCAAUAUUAUCAGGACAUAAAUAAAUGUUUUAGUAGCAGUUAGUCUAUAUUUCCGAGCUGUGUUCAACAGUUUUGAGAAAAGCAACAGUUCAAAUCUUGUUAUUAUGAGUUGGAUCCCACCGUUUUACUACUAUUUUUAGAAUAUAUAUUUAUACUGGCAAAAUUAUGGUAACCAAUGAAAAUGUACAGCUGAAAAUCGCUGAUAAUUGGACUAUACAAGUGGUGUAUGUGCAGAGAUUUUACUAACACAAAUGGAUACUUCAAAUUAUCUUUCUAUGAAAUCAUUUGCCAACUUACAUAACUGUACGGAGUACUCUCAAGUUCCGAAGCAUUCAUCAAUAAACAGUUUUUAGAAAUGGUUAAAGGUGAUGAGUUCUUAUCAUUAUCUUGUGAAAAAUGUGUUGAGCUUAUUUCCUAUAAUGACCUUCCUGUUCCAUUCGAGGAAAAAGCCUUUGAAUAUGUUAUUAAAUGGGUAAAACAUGUUUUGGAUUGGAGAAAAAUAUAUUGCCAGUAUUAAUGGAACAUUAAGCAUAAUUAUUAGCAUCAAUGCCCGAUACUAAAUAGUAAAUAUUGUAGUUAAAGAACCACUUCUGAAAAAUAAUUCUAAAUAAAAGUCAGUUCAGCAUUUCGCUAUUCCAAAUAUCAUUCGGUAUAGAGGUUUUUGAUGUCAGUGUUCAAAGACGAGUAGCUAGUAUGACUACAGAAGUGAUUUGCGUGUGAGUAUACUCAAUAAUUGCUUAUAUUAAAUAGGAGUUUUUUCAAAACAUUUGAAGUCUGUUGAACGUUAUGAUCCCACACAUGCACUACCUAGUUGAAGAACUGUCUGUAUGUCACAAAGGUGUUUAUAUAGAAGUUUUUGACAGUGAUAUGUAACUUAUGUAUGCUAUCAGUGUUAGUGAUGGAUCAAUAUUUCUUAACAGUAUUAAGGCCUGUAGACUAAUGAUGGAGUAUGAUCUUUUAUUGCUAAUAUAUUUCUUGAUACAUACCUGGAGUAGUCGAAUAAGAUGGUUUACUGUAUGUGAUUGAUGGAGAAACAGAUAAAUCUGAAUAAUUUGUUAAUACUAUAGAAAUGUGCAAACCAACACCAAUACCUGGUCCAUGGAAACAUAGUCAAGAUGUAACGUUGACUUCCGUGAUUUAGUAGAGUAGUUGUUAAUAGACCACCACAUUUUAUAUCUAAUUAGCAUUUAUAAUAGUCUUGUUGGUAGUAAUAAUACACACAUAUUUUAUAAUUUAUGAUAAAACAUAUAUUUGUUCUAUCAAUUUUUGUUUUUUUGUGAAUGUUCAAUAAAAAUUGUUUUAUAUAAUUUAAAUCAACUUUUAUAUUCAAGUUAAAUAAAUACAGUUUAUAUUCAGUUAGUAGG